rnacentral:tRNA from 1 species
GGGGCAUUAGCGCAGUUGGGAGCGCACAACACUGGCAGUGUUGGGGUCAUCGGUUCAAGUCCGUUAUGCUCCACCA